rnacentral:rRNA from 1 species
GCGAACGCUGGCGGCAGGCCUAACACAUGCAAGUCGAACGAUCCUUCGGGAUAGUGGCGGACGGGUGAGUAACACGUGGGAACGUGCCUUUUGGUUCGGAACAACUCAGGGAAACUUGAGCUAAUACCGAAUGUGCCCUUCGGGGGAAAGAUUUAUCGCCAUUAGAGCGGCCCGCGUCUGAUUAGCUAGUUGGUGAGGUAAAGGCUCACCAAGGCUACGAUCAGUAGCUG